UACAGCCUGUAGAAGUCUUUUGUCCUGUAAAAGUAUAACGAAUUGUACUGGGUCGUGCGAACUUAUCACAAGGAUCCUUACCAAGUAUGAGACACAAAUUGUUGGUCGCAAUCAUCCCGGUGAACAGGAAGGACAGUGGUAGUACCUACGAGUGAACAUUAUGUAAUAUGAUGUAAAUUGUUAUUUUCAUAGAUGACGUUUGUAACGUUUA